rnacentral:rRNA from 1 species
CAGCCGCCGCGGUAAUACAGAGGGUGCAAGCGUUAAUCGGAAUUACUGGGCGUAAAGCGCGCGUAGGUGGUUUGUUAAGUUGGAUGUGAAAGCCCCGGGCUCAACCUGGGAACUGCAUCCAAAACUGGCAAGCUAGAGUAUGGUAGAGGGUGGUGGAAUUUCCUGUGUAGCGGUGAAAUGCGUAGAUAUAGGAAGGAACACCAGUGGCGAAGGCGACCACCUGGACUGAUACUGACACUGAGGUGCGAAAGCGUGGGGAGCAAACAGGAUUAGAUACCCCUGUAGUCCCUGUCUCUUAUAC